AACGAACGCUGGCGGCAGGCUUAACACAUGCAAGUCGAACGCCCCGCAAGGGGAGUGGCAGACGGGUGAGUAACGCGUGGGAAUCUACCCAGAUCUUCGGAACAACUGAGGGAAACUUCAGCUAAUACCGGAUACGCCCUACGGGGGAAAGAUUUAUCGGUUCUGGAUGAGCCCGCGUUGGAUUAGCUAGUUGGUGGGGUAAUGGCCUACCAAGGCGACGAUCCAUAGCUGGUGUGAGAGGAUGAUCAGCCACACUGGGACUGAGACACGGCCCAGACUCCUACGGGAGGCAGCAGUGGGGAAUAUUGGACAAUGGGCGAAAGCCUGAUCCAGCCAUGCCGCGUGAGUGAUGAAGGCCUUAGGGUUGUAAAGCUCUUUCAGUGGGGAAGAUAAUGACGGUACCCACAGAAGAAGCCCCGGCUAACUUCGUGCCAGCAGCCGCCGUAAAAC
rnacentral:rRNA from 1 species